UGUCGCAGCAGGUUCCCUUUCUGGGUGAAGGAGGCCCCGCACUGAUUGCACUGGAAGGGUCGCUCUCCUGGGACGAGGAGAGGAAAACGAGAAAAUAUGAGGCACUCCUUUGUGCUCAUCUGAGAUGGUGACAUGAACCCAGCUCUCUGAGAACCAUAAACUGCAGCUGCAAUGAAAGCCCUCAUUCCAACCACUGUUUUCACAGAGUUUUAUGAGUAGGAGGGACAUUUCACCCAGUAUAACAAUCAAUGAGCUUUUUGGAGAAAAGACUUACAAGGAAUGGAAAGGACUGACUAGAAGAUGGAACACAGUCCUCAUAGGAGACACCAAGAUCUGAGGAUCAGCAGCCCAGAGUGCUUUACAUUUUAGCAGCUUCCUGCUAGCACCUCCCAGUCACCAUGGACAAACAAACCACAUCCUACUGACAAGGUCAAUAAAGGACACAGGCAGGUGGGGGAGGCCAGGCUGCCACUUGGCCCACAGUGUUCUGUGACUACUGAACCCUGUAAAAUCAGGACUCUCAUUAAUAUCCUGUGUACCUUGUUGAGUGGAAGUGACUGCCCACUAGGGUCAUGUUGGCCUUACUGUGGUUGGAUGAAUGUUUCCAUGUAGCAAAAGCUCAGUCACUAGAGAGCCCUAGGAGGGGUGGGGCCACAGGGAGGUCUUUGGGUCACUGGAUGCUCUUGGAAGGGAAAGUGGCCCUGGUGAAACAGUCUCUCUGCUUCCUGGCUUGUGAUGACAGAGAUCCAUGUGGACAUGCAUUCCCCAUCAUUGCCACCUGGUGCCCUCCCUGGGGAACAGAACAAUGGGCCCUGAUCUUAGUCUUGUGCCCCCAACACCAUGAGCUAAAUAAACUUCAGUUCUUUAUAAAUCACCAAGUCUCCAGAUCUUACAGCAGUAAAUAAGGGGCUGAAUCAGACGUGUCCCAGAAACACAGUAAAGUUACAAAAAUCUCUGUUCUCCCCAACCUAGGAGUGAUUUUAAUUGUCUACCUUGUGGCUUUUGAGAGUGAGACAGGGCUAUUGUAGUGCGCAGUGGAAUGGUCUGGAAUGGGUGCUUUUCUACCAUGAGGGCUAAGAGGCAGGACUGCCACGGCUGGGAGGAGGACACUGCAGGACAGAGCUGGCGCUGU